rnacentral:tRNA from 1 species
AUAGCUCAGCUGGGAGAGCGCUUGCAUGGCAUGCAAGAGGUCGACGGUUCGAUCCCGUCU